AUUGAACGCUGGCGGCAUGCCUUACACAUGCAAGUCGAACGGUAACAGGUCUUCGGAUGCUGACGAGUGGCGAACGGGUGAGUAAUACAUCGGAACGUGCCCGAUCGUGGGGGAUAACGGAGCGAAAGCUUUGCUAAUACCGCAUACGAUCUACGGAUGAAAGCAGGGGACCGCAAGGCCUUGCGCGGACGGAGCGGCCGAUGGCAGAUUAGGUAGUUGGUGGGAUAAAAGCUUACCAAGCCGACGAUCUGUAGCUGGUCUGAGAGGGCGACCAGCCACACUGGGACUGAGACACGGCCCAGACUCCUGCGGGAGGCAGCAGUGGGGAAUUUUGGACAAUGGGCGAAAGCCUGAUCCAGCGAUGCCGCGUGCAGGAUGAAGGCCUUCGGGUUGUGAACUGCUUUUGUACGGAACGAAAAGACUCUUUCUAAUAAAGAGGGUCCAUGACGGUACCGUAAGAAUAAGCACCGGCUAACUACGUG
rnacentral:rRNA from 1 species